rnacentral:rRNA from 1 species
AAUACGUGGCACACGGCUCAGUAACACGUAGUCAACAUAACCAAAGGACGUGGAUAAACUCGGGAAACUGAGGCUAAACCGCGAUAGAUCAAGAUAUCUGGAAUGGUUCUUGAUCAAAAUCUAUAUGGCCUUUGGAUUGGACUGCGUCCGAUCAGGCUGUUGGUGAGGUAAUGGCCCACCAAACCUGUAACCGGUACGGGCUCUGAGAGGAGGAGCCCGGAGAUGGGUACUGAGAAAAGGACCCAGGCCCUAUGGGGCGCAGCAGGCGCGAAACCUCUGCAAUAGGCGAAAGCCUGACAGGGUUACUCUGAGUGACUUUCGCUAAGAAAGUCUUUUGACACCUCUAAAAAUGGUGUAGAAUAAGGGGUGGGCAAGUCUGGUGUCAGCCGCCGCGGUAAUACCAGCACCCCGAGUGGUCGGGACGAUUAUUGGGCCUAAAGCAUCCGUAGCCGGUUUUACAAGUCCUCCGUUAAAUCCAGCUGCUUAACAGAUGGGCUGCGGAGGAUACUAUAAGACUAGGAGGCAGGAGAGGCAAGCGGUACUCAGUGGGUAGGGGUAAAAUCCGUUGAUCCAUUGAAGACCACCAGUGGCGAAGGCGGCUUGCCAGAAUGCGCUCGACGGUGAGGGAUGAAAGCUGGGGGAGCAAACCGGAUUAGAUACCCGGGUAGUCCCAGCUGUAAACGAUGCAGACUCGGUGAUGGACUAGCUUUAUGCUAGUCCAGUGCCGCAGGGAAGCCGUUAAGUCUGCCGCCUGGGUAGUACGGUCGCAAGACUGAAACUUAAAGGAAUUGGCGGGGGAGCACCACAAGGGGUGAAGCCUGCGGUUCAAUUGGAUUCAACGCCGGG